GACGAACGCUGGCGGCGUGCCUAAUACAUGCAAGUCGAACGCAUUUGCGAACGGGUGAGUAACGCGUAGGUAACUGCCUCAUAGCGGGGGAUAACUAUUGGAAACGAUAGCUAAUACCGCAUACUGUGAGAUGUACCUGCGUUGUAUUAGAUAGUUGGUGAGGUAAAGGCUCACCAAGGCGACGAUACAUAGCCGGUCUGAGAGGGUGAACGGACACACUGGGAAUGAGACACGGCCCAGAAUCCUACGGGAGGCAGCAGUAGGGAAUCUUGGGCAAUGGACGGAAGUCUGACCGAGCAACGCCGCGGGAGUGAAGAAGGUCUUCGGGUCGUAAAGCUCUGUUGUUAGGGAAGCGGUAACUAAACAGAAAGGGACGGCUAACUACGUGCCAGCAGCCGCGGUAAUAC
rnacentral:rRNA from 1 species